rnacentral:lncRNA from 10 species
AACACUCCUCACUUCCCAGACGGGGUGGCAGCCGGGCAGAGGCUGCAAUCUCGGCACUUUGGGAGGCCAAGGCAGGCGGCUGCUCCUUGCCCUCGGGCCCCGCGGGGCCCGUCCGCUCCUCCAGCCGCUGCCUCCCGGGCGGCGCUCGCCGGCGCGGCGGCAAAGACUCUAUUUUUGCUGGAUUUAAAACAUUGUUUUUAUGGGUAAAAUACAGGAUCUCGCUGCGUUGCUCAGACUGGUCUCGAACUCCUGGGCUUAAGGGAUUCUCCUGCCUCAAUCACAGCCUCCCAAGUAGCUGAGAUUAAAAGUGCUCACCACCGUGCCAGCGAGUUCAGUUUUUGAGGGUGGAGCCAAGACUCUGAGGAGAGGGCUGAACUGUGAACCUAGAAGUACCAUCUCCCCCUGCACACACCUUUGGUCAAGUUGACCCCAAGAAGAAGGACAAGUCCUCUGCACGGCGAUGAGGCCAUACACACAGUCUGUGGCCCGGCUUUGGGAGACUGAUGGGACAAAGGAUGUUUUGCACGAUCCUUGGUCUCUGAGCAAAUAUAUACAUGGGUUAACACAAAGGCUCUCUUUUUGAAAAAUGUGACUGUGAAAGUGUGCCCUCCCAGAUAUUCCAGGCAUAACACAGGAGUGACUGCAUGUUUGGGGACAGUGCGGAGGCCACUCUGAUUAGAUCAGAGGAUGUGGACUGGUUCAUGAUGUAAAAGCUGAAGGGAGGCCGGGCACAGUGGCUCACGCCUGUAAUCCUAGCACUUUGGGAGGCCAAGGUGGGUGGAUCACGAGGUCAGGAGAUCGAGACCAUCCUGGCUAACAAGGUGAAACCCCG